rnacentral:lncRNA from 10 species
AAGAUGGCCGAAUAGGAACAGCUCCGGUCUACAGCUCCCAGCGUGAGUAACGCAGAAGAUGGGUGAUUUCUGCAUUUCCAUCUGAGCUGAGCAACUGGAGAAGAUGACAGCCCAGAAGACCAGAACUUGCCUUGAAUGCAGGAAGAGGCAAUGCCACUCUAAGAAACAUGAACAACCCUGGAAGACGAUCAUAUCCUUUCUCAAUAUUAUAGACUGAACUGUGUCUUCCUUGCAAACUCACAUAUUGAAG